rnacentral:rRNA from 1 species
UACGUAGGGGGCAAGCGUUGUCCGGAAUCAUUGGGCGUAAAGAGCGUGUAGGCGGCCCGGUAAGUCCGCUGUGAAAGUCCAGGGCUCAACCCUGGGAUGCCGGUGGAUACUGCUGGGCUAGAGUACGGAAGAGGCGAGUGGAAUUCCCGGUGUAGCGGUGAAAUGCGCAGAUAUCGGGAGGAACACCUAUUGCGAAGGCAGCUCGCUGGGACGUUACUGACGCUGAGACGCGAAAGCGUGGGGAGCAAACAGG